rnacentral:lncRNA from 1 species
GAUUAUUUAUAUAAUAGAAAAAUGCAAUUUGAGUCCCAGAGGAUUGAUUCUGGGUUUGAUUUUGGGUUCCAUUUGAUGAUUUUUGGUUGAUUUUGAAAAAAACAGAGGGUUGAUUUUGGGUUCCAUUCGAUGAUUUUGGGUUCCAUUCGAUGAUUUUGGGUUUAUUUUAAAAAAACAGAGGGUUGAUUUUGGGUUUGAUGUAUCAACAGAGGUUUUGAAUAUGGGUUUGAAUGUGUUUUGGUUUUGAUUCUUGUGGGUUUGAAUGUGGGUUUGAAUGUGUUUUGGUUUUGAUUCUUGUGGGUUUGAAUGUGGGUUUGAUGUGUUUUGGUUUUGAUUUUUGGUUUGAAUGUGUUAGGGUAUCAAAACAGAGGGUUUGAAUGUGGGUUUGAAUGUGUUUUGGUUUUGAUUCUUGUGGGUUUGAAUGUGUUAUGGUUUUGAUUCUUGUGUGUUCAUCAUAUUGAUUUUUGGUUUGAUUCCAUGAUUUGGGUUCCUCAUAUUAAAGAACUGAUCGGAUCAGUGGUUUUCAAUGUGUUUUGGUUUUGAUUCUUGUGUGUUCAUCAUAUUGAUUUUUGGUUUGAUUCGAUGAUUUGGGUUCCUCAUAUUAAGAACUGAUCGGAUCAGUUUCGGAUUGAAUGUGUUCCUCAUUUGAAUGUGUUUUGUUGUACAGAAUGGCUGCGGAUGUAAAGAUACGCAAAACACCAACUACGAAGGCGAGAACACUUGACAACCUCCUAUAAGAUGGUGCGGUGCACAUAAGGAAGUGAUUGAUAUGAAUGAAUAUAACCCCAGUCAGUGGUGGAACUAGAAGAAAUAUUCAGGGGGUUGUCCUAGUACUUGUUGAGGGGUGUCCUUAGUAUAAAAAUCGAAAAAAAAAAAAUAAAAUUUUACACUACCGGAAAAAAGUUGAGCCGUAGCCCGUGCUACGCCCCAACCUACAUUAGGUCCGCCCCUGACCCCAGUGGCAGAUAUGUAAUUACCUACACUGAGGUUAUAUUCAUUCAUAUCUGCUACAUUCCGAAAUGCACCCGUCAGUAAAGAUUCACAAUUGCUUGUGAAUCUUUGACGUUUUGUCUCUGUAUUGUAUGUUACGGUCUUUUGUUAUCGAGUUUGUAAGUUCCGUCAAGUCUACGAAGUUGGUAUGACGUUUUGUCUCUGUAUUGUAUGUAUUAAAAGUUUACAUUUAAUAUACAGUUUAGGCUU